GGGGGGGGGGGUGCAUGCAUGCAUACAUACAUACAUACAUACAUCUUUUAAAAAAGAAAAAAAAAGUGGUUUUCCAUUUCUGAAAGAGUAACAAAGAGAAUACACAUAAAAAACAAAGUGGACAACAGAUGAAUGAAAGAGUCAAGUUUCAUGCUAAUGAAAACAUAAGCUUAAACCAUUAAAGUUCCUUCAGGGUCUGCUAAACAAAACUGUUCAUACUUUGGUGUUAAAUAUAAUAGGAUUCCUUCUUGGUAGGAGGGACUGUGUUGGAGUUCAAGUUAGCAACAUUUGGGGGAAGUAAUUAGAAGAUACUUAUCACAAGCUUUAAAAAAAACAUUGUCCACUUGGACCCAGUAAUCUCAAUUCUAGAAAUGUUUAUAUAAAUUAAAGAUGUCAUCCAAUACUUACACAUAAAAGCAUUCUAGAACUCCUUUUAAUAGCAAAGCAGAGCAAAAAUAAGUGUCCAGGAACAGAAGAGCAUCUAAAAAGAAUGGACCAUUGUGGCAUAAUGGGUAAAGCUGCUGUCUGCAGUGCUGGCACUCCAGAUGGGCACUGGGUCAUGUCUGGCUGCUCACGGCUAAUGGCCUGGGGAAAGAGCUGAAAGUGGCCCAAGUGUUUGGGUCCCUGCUACCCAUGUGGGAGAUGCUUAUGAAGCUCCUGGCUCCUGGCUCCUGGCUCCUGGCUCCUGGCUCAGCCCUGGAUGUUGCCACUGUAGGGAGAGAACCAGCAGAUGGAAGAUCUUUCCCUCUUUCUUUCUCUUCCUUUCCAAGUCCCUCUCCCUUUAUAAAUCUGUUUCAAAUAAAUAAAUGUUAAAAUAAUAGAACUGUUAAAGUAAAAAUAAAAUUAGUUACUACCUGUAAUUUUCCAAAAACAUUUGAAAAAAUGUGUAAGUGCUCAUGAAGUAACAUUAGGAGGAAAGCACUUUAUAAAACCAUACCACUUAAAAAACUGAAGUAUACUUUCAAGGGAAAAAAAGUACAUAUUUAAAAAACAGCAGCAGUGAUUUUCCUUGGAUGGUUUCUGAUUUUACCUUUCCAAGUUUCUGCUCUGUGAACAUUCAUGAUGGUUAUUUUUUAAUGUUAUUUUCAGCAAAACACGUGUAAACAGUGAACUGAGAGAUUAUAAAAUAUUCAUCCCAGCCACUUCUCACUGCAGAUAUAAUACUUUGUUAAUAAAGGCACAUAGCAUUUAUAAGUGCUGCUUUCUCAUUCUUUUUGUUUGUUUAUUCUUGGUUUAUUUUUUACAAUUGAGGAGGGUUGGAAAGAAGUGAAAUAUUCUUGCUUGCUGUUCUCAUUGGUCCAGUGUAGAAGUCAGGUCUGUUGAGCAGACUCCAUGUGUACUGCAGAUCAAGUAGGUGGCCUGGUGAAGGGGACAAGUCUCUUCUCUGCCAGUGCAGAGAGGAACUAGGAUCCAGACCGGGGUUCCUACUGCCAGCCUCAUGCAUUUUCCGCAUUUCUCCAUUUUGCUGAAUUUAGGGGUAAGAAUAAAUCAGGAACGGUGGCUCAGACUAUACUCUGCUUCAUACUUAGUAGCUUCAAGUUAGGAGUCAGAAUCCUCGCUUUUUUUGAAAAGAGAAAAUGGCUCUCCUAGACACCCAGUGAUUUCCUCAAGUCCACCAACCCAUAAAUGUCACAGUUAGGACAGGUGACUACAAAUCUCAUUAUUUUUUUGCUAUUCCAGGUUAACUUCAAGGCUAUUAACUCAAUCAUGAGGAGAUCAUUUAGGAAAUGAAUACAUUAUUCUUUGAUUUACACAUCUCAAACAAUGUUCUAAGUCAGAAAAGUGAUUAUAAUUAAUAUUUUGUAAAAUGUGCUCAUCUCUUUAGGGAAGUGCUGCCAGUUUGGAGAACGUUCCACUGCCUUGCCUAAUGGUUGUGUUCUGCUAGGCAGGGGUGGAGAGGGGAGAGGGCUUAUGAAAAAUAAACAUAUUCCCAGGCCAAGGCUCUUGGGAUUCUCCUUCAGAAGACCUGACACAGCUCUGGAAUGUAUAAUUUUUACAAAUGCCUUGAAAAUGCUUGUGCUAGGGCUGCUUCAGGGAAACAUGUAUCUGAACCAAUUGAUUUCAAACUGCAGGGCACACAUCUGACUCCUGCUCGCUCGGUAAUAAGGAUUCCAGCCCAGCAAGUCUAGGCAGUGUGCCUAGUGCUCAGACUCUUCAGGGGGUUCUAAUGGUAUUGGUACACAGGACUUUCAAGAAAACCACUUGAAUAUAAUUUUAUACUGUACAUUUAGAUGGUACUGGAGGAAAGUAAAAAAUCUUAAAUAUAUCCUUUGUGACUAAAGGGAUAUAGGGGACAUAAACAAAACAAGCAAUGGUACCAUCUAUAAAAGUGAAAAAAGGAAGUUGGACAUGGAAUUCACAGAGGGGAACAGGAAUCCCUGGAGACAUCCCCAGAGACAGCGUGCUGCCUAAUUGGCUAAUGAAGAAUGUGUAGGGUGAAUGGGGAGAUGAAAGACUUCUCUAGUGAGGGGAGCAGCAAGAGGAACUGAAAUAGAAUAGAGCAAGGGCUUGAAUAAGGCAAGGCAAGUGGGAUGUUUCUGGAGAGGAAGCGUGGGUCUCACGAUGACAUGGCCUGCGAGCAUCUCAGACUGAAGGCGUAGAGGAACAGACAUUGGGGAGCCAGUGGCUGGACAUGGUUGAUGGACUCUCCGAUGAUAGAUUGCAGUAUACACAUUGACCUUUCAGAGACUUAAAGAACUUUGAAAUGAGGGUUGACGUAAACUAGAUAGUUUAAGCAUUUAGCCACCCCUCUCAUCAACUCAGAGCAAUCUCUGAUGAACGUUUAGUUUGUCUACCCUUCCCACAAUGCUCCCCUCAACAUCAUGCCCACAAGCAUUUCUGAAAGAAGAAAGGACAGGUGAAGUUUACCAUUCGUGUAUAUAGAUUAAAAUGCUGAUUUCAGGGUAGGGAUAUAAAUUUCAGAUAAUAAUUUUCCUGAGCACAUCUAUGCCCUAAAGUUCAGAAUGAAGGCUGUGUCCUAAAACCGAAAUUCUUUCUCCAGCCACAUAUGCAUCCACAUAGACAAACAGAAAUGCACAGACAGCAUUGCAAGUUGCCUCUUGUUCACUGCAGUGAAGAGCUUCUUCCAGUGUCUUCUCAGGUCAUUCUGAUGUUUCUCUGCUUCAGACUAUCGUAGGAUGGAUGAUCUGGUCUAAGGGAAACUCUAGCCCUUAGUGAUUCUGAUUCGUUUAUCCCUCUAUCUCUCUGUGUCUCCUUGAACUCAUUUGCUAGACACUUUUUAAGACCAUACUGUGAAACAACAUUUGCCAGACUAAACCAGUAGUCAUUUCACUCUCUAGUGAUGGCCAGUGUUCCUAUUUUGGAAGGAUAAUAAGGUUUUAUCCUGACCUGUGAUGAGAGGCUAAAAAACUGAUUAUCUUUGUGAUGUUCACUGUGCAUAAUAGCCCUGCUCAUAUAAACAGAUACAGAUAAUUAGCCAUGGCUGUAUUAAUUAAUCUUUUGAAGAGAUAUGAUCUUCAGCAUACACCACUGUGGAUUUAAAAAGAUAUGUGUUGAUUUUAGCUGAAUGAGUCAAAUAAGUGUGCGUGAAGGAAAGACAUAUUUGAGAGUGAAAAGUAUUAUAUGUACUGCAGAAAUAAAUCUUAUUUUUAAUGCAGACCUAGAUAUAUAACUCUCUCUGUGUGUGUGUGUGAGAGAGAGAGAGAAUUUAGACAAAGACUUAACAAUAUGUCAUACAUGGAGGUUAAUCAUUAUCCACUAUCUUGUUGAGAUGUUUUGCUAAAUAAUUAAUGAAAAUGUAGUAGCAUUUAUUAUAAAUGUAUUUAGCGUAAAUGUAAUAAAAGAGCUAAAUAACAAGAGUGUCAUAAAUAUUAUUUGGGCAUUACGGAACAUGCAUCUUGAAGUGAAAGGAGAAGAAGGAAUGGUGGACCACUCUUUUGCCUUUAUUAUUUCAACCUGCACACAGUUGUCAGGAGGACUCACAUCUCUGAUUCACAUGUUCUGAAAGAUUGCCAUAUAAUUUUCUCCAUAUCAAGUCAGAGGGAGGACAAAAGGCCUGCAUCACAUUCCAUUUGGUAAGAUAGAUAAAUUCAGAUUGGAAUUGGAGCACUCACACAGUCUACAUCAACACAUAUGUAGGCUUCCUUCUGAGUCAUAACCAGAUAAGUGGUAGGUGAUGGCCAAAGAGAGGAAAAGAAGUUGUUCAGAAAAUAAUGUUUAUGAAUUUUAAGUUCUCAGGGGAAAAAUGUGUGAAGCAUCUAUUGAAAUCUGUCCCUUGCUAAUUGAACAUAAAGCAUUAUUUGUCCUGCAGUCGAGACAACAUAUGUGAAAAUGUUAGGACCUAAAAUGCCUAUAAAAGCUUUCAUUUACACUAAGCAACUUACACUAACUAAGCCUCAUCCAAAUAUAAGACCUACUACAUGUUCAUCAUGAACUAUACAGGGCCUGUGGGGCUUUUAGGCAAUGCAAACACAACUGUUCUCAGUGCUUGUUUCUAAACCACUAUUUUUGUGUUUAUUUACCCAGCACAGAUGUUAUGGCUCAUUGGGAACUAAAUGGUUUGUGUAGGUGGCCAUGUUUUCAUGGUCCAAGCAGCUCGUGCUGAGAUAUGAGUGUUCAUUCCACUGAUGCUCUCACCCUAGGAAUGAGGAUGGAGAGGAAUGCAGUUUAAUUCAGCACAUAUUGGAGAACUGUAAUAUCUAAGUCAGAGGCGGAUCUCAUUUUGAGUGAGGAAGCAGCCAAAAACACUGGAAGCUGAGGUAUCUUGACUUGAGGUUCACAGUCUCCAAAUAAACAGAAUCGUGGGCACCACGCCUGACAGCGUGGGUGAACAGACAGUCGUAUCUGGCUUACUCACAGAAUUCCACGGAGUCUAAAAUCAAGGCUCUCCCUCUCUCCUAUAUUUGGAAAAUUAUUCGCUCUACUUUCAUCAGCGCAGGUAGGGGUUAAUGAAGGUUAAAUCGUUCUAAUUUAGUUGUGACUGUGCCAACUCAGUGCUUGAAAAAUGUGGCAGGUGUCAGGCAUCCAUACUUCCUUCCAGAAGGCCCUCACAGUGGCCUCCCUGCCACUGAUGCCAUCUUUGCAUCAUCUAACACCAUAUGGCAGAACUGCCAUUCCCCUGCUAGAGGAGACUGGUCCUUAUCAAACUUUUCCUGUUGCUCCUCUUCUAUUUAAGAAACUCGUGUUAUACACUUGAUCUGAGAUUAUCAGUAGUAACACACUAAUCAAAUGUUACACCUUUCCUCCAAGUUCAGUGUUUAAAAAAUACUGCUUUGAAUUUCCAGUGAAAACAUUUUGAUACGUCUGCUUUCCCCUUGGAAACCAUUCCAUCUUUGCCUUGAUGUGUGGAAUAAUUAUGGCUCCCAUGUUAGUUCAUUAACUUUUCUUUUCCAUUAAGCGGUCUGUCUUUUUUGACAGUACCUUCUGGCAACUAGAAAGCUAAAUGCAAAAUAAUUUGGGAUUAAGGGGAGGCCAUUCGGUAGUCAUCCAAAAACAAUAAAGUAGGACUCUGUUGAGGAUCGAAUAUAUAAGGCUUCACCAUGCUGUUACUAAAUUUCUAAGGAAAUGUUCAAACAUACGAGGACUGACUCUAGAGGGAUUAUUCUUAGAGUGGGGAAGAGUAGGUACUAUGGGAGGAUAAGACAUUGGUCAGUCUUUUUCCAAGAACUGGAAUAACUUGUUUAUUCUGCUUGUAAUCUAGCUCUCCAGUGCCCCUGCAUAUGCCAAACAUUCCUGGAGCCUUGUAUCAGCCUCCAGGUAUGCUUAAAAAUAUGCUCAUAUAAUAGGAAAACUGUUGAAAGUCAGUAUGAAAGACUACAGUAUACCUAUAACCUAUUACCAUGUGGGCAGGUUCUUACAUUCAACAUUUAAAGAAGGCAUGGUGUUUAGGGGAAAAGGCUUUUAAUUAUGUUCCGUUUUCAGCAAUUAUUGGGCGAGAAAGCCUUUGAAGGUGGAUAGGGUCUUACCACACAUACAUCGGUGAAUAGAAAGUAAAAAUACAUAGGGUUCUCUGCUCUUUUUAUAACUCUGUUCAUGUACCAGUGCCUGGGGCCUUCAUCAUUUCUGACCAUUUUCUCGUAAGCUGCAAAUUGCAAACUCAAUUGAGUAGCAGCUGUAAGUUUAAAGGAUAUUUACAAAAAUCCUCAUCUUUGGUGUGCUGUGAAACUUAUUCACUCCUGGAGACACCAUUGUUAUACUUAGGUUUUUGGUUUUUAUUAUUUAAGAGUAUUUGUGAGAGAAUGCUUAGCAUAUUUACAUUUUUGCAAUUAUAUGCACACACAUAUGAUUAAAACUACUUGAACCCAGAUACAUAUCAUACCCAAAUAUAUAUCUGAAAAUGUAAUAUUGAGAAAAAUCAUAACAACAUUUAAAAAUAAUGCCUCUAAAAGUCUCGGCAGGGAAUGGGCUGUCAGUGAAGACUGCCACAUUUCAUGUCGGAAUGCUUGGUUUAAGUCCCAGCUCCUGUGCUUCUCAUCCAGCUACCUGUUAAUGCACAGUCUUUUAGGCAGCAGAUGAUGGUCCAGGUACUUGGGUCCCUGGCACCCAUGUAGGAGGUACAGAUUGAGUUCCAGGCACCUGGCUUUGGCUUGGCCCAGCCCUGGUUGUUGUGAGCAUUGGUGAGUGAACCAACAGAUGGAAGACCUUUGACUCUGUCCCUCUCCCUCUUUUUCUCCCUCUCCCUCCCUCCCUGCCUCCCUGUCUUUCUCUCUCUCUCUCUCUCUCUCUCUCUCUCUCUCUCUCUGCCUUUGAAAUAAAAUGAAAAUACAUCAGAAUUUUUUAGAA